ACGGGUGAGGAUCACGUGAGAAACCUGCCCCGAACUCUGGGAUAACACGAGGAAACCCGUGCUAAUACCGGAUACCUUCUUUUGGCCGCAUGGUCAGAUGAAGAAAGAUUUAUCGGUUUGGGAGGGUCUCGCGGCCUAUCAGCUAGUUGGCGGGGUAAUGGCCCACCAAGGCAUCGACGGGUAGCUGGUCUGAGAGGAUGAUCAGCCACACUGGGACUGAGACACGGCCCAGACUCC
rnacentral:rRNA from 1 species